GGACCCUGGCGCAGCCCGGAAUCGUCCCCGCGCACCUGGCCAGCGGCAGCAGCGCCUAGUCGGACCCGCUCGGCUCUGCCCGGUGACGGCGCCACAGGCCGCAGCCGCCGCCGCCGCGCGCCUCCGCCCCGCGCGCCCCUCCCAGGCCGCGCGCGCUCCGCCACCGCCCGCGGCCUCCACGCGCCGGCGCGCGCAGCGCCCAGCCCCGCCCCCCACUGCCGCGCCGGGCGCCUGGCCGCGCGCGGCCGCCUCGAGCGCAUCCGGCGGCGUGGGGGUGCUGAGGCUCAGCGGGGUGGCUGCGUUGAGGUUCGCCUUGACACCCGCCAGGCGUCGCGGCGCUGGGCGGGCGGACCUUGUCCGCCCCCUUCUCCAACUUCAGCCCUCGUUUCCCUCCGGCUGAUGCUGCCGGCUUGCCUCUGACCACCGUUGGUUCGGAGAGGCCACGACCCUGGGGGCCGGCGUCCGAGGUGCGAGUGGCCAAGCACCCGGACAUCCUGCUGGCACAGAAUCAAGUGUUUAAUGGUGAAUGAAGGCGAAAUAACCACCAUAGGCCCGGAAUCGUUCGACUCAAGUAAUCACAAGUAAUUACAGAGCUGUUUCUGACGGCUCAUGUCCUGAAAGCCACGUGCCAAUUGACCAGUGGUGGCAAGAUUAGAUGUAGAUCCCAGGACAAUACUGCGCCAUUGAUCAAAUAAGUUAAGAGAUCACAGUUAUCUUGACUUAAAUGUAGUAUUUUAAUAAAUUCUAAUAGCUAGGUGGGGUUGCACAGAAGAAAUUAAUUGGUUCCUGGAUGCAGGCUGUACAUUUUUUGAGCUUGAUGGGGCUGAUUUAGAGGCUUAACUUCCAUGUCAGGAAAGUUACAAACUUGACUUCUAGAAAAUACAGUUUUUAUUAGAAAGUCUCUGAACUUUUUUUUUAAUAUUUAUUUUUGAGAGAGAAAGAACACAAAUGGGGGAGGGGCAGAGAGAGAGGGAGAUAACAGAAUUUGAAGCAGGCUCCUGGCUCUGAGCUGUCAGCAGAGCCCCAGGUGGGGCUCCAACGCACCACCAAUGAGAUCAUGACCUGAGCCAAAGUUGGACUAGCCACCCAGGUGCCCCAGAGAUUCUCUGAACUCUUAAUUCCAAGAAGCUACUACAAGUAAGGUGGAUGUCAAUAAUUAAAGAAUUUGAACCUCUUCCAAGAAAGUUGGGAAAUUUCCCCUACCUGUGUCUUUAGCAGUAUUUCCUUCAUUUCCUAGGGAAAUUAUUCUCUUCCUCCCACUUCACUUGCUACGCUAUAGCCAUAGGAAGAUAAAUAAAUCAUCAUCUCUGUCUCAAAGUUGCUCACAGUAUAAAUGGAAAAUGCUAAAAUGGACAUAAACAACAUGCUCUGGAACGGAGAAGAAACAAGUUGACUAGGGACAACAAGCCAGAAAUGAUUGGUAAUACACGUGUUUACCCAACUCAGAAGAUUUUUUUUUUUUUUAAUUCAAGACUUGAAACCUCCAACCACAUCUGCCCAUUCAUCAUUCCAGACAUUUUGAAGAGGAAGACACCACCAGAUGACCCAGACUGAUCUUAUCUCGAGAUAAUUUCCUUCGAAGAGAAAUCAGGAAGGAAUUUGUUAUGCAGAAUUUAGGAUUUGGCCAGAUCUGGAAGCAUCUAAAGCCUGCUGAGGAAUGACAGUUUUCAAAUGCCCGGUAUACAAAAUAACUUUAAAAUUUUCUGUUAACUUGUUCGUUUGGGGGAAGAGUUUCUUUUGAUUUGUCCUUUGACUCUUCACGACCUGUGACCUGUUUCCAACCCAGGACCCGGUUCUUCUGAGGAUGGAAGGGAGUUGGAACUCCGCUCAAAUAUUCUUUCCCUUUCUCACAUCCCAACCCCUUCUGUGAUCCAAGCCCUCAAAACAUAAAGGAUGGUCAUCUUUCAAUUUUAAAAUUAUAACACUAAACGUUUCUUUAUUCAAGGAAUUGAAAGAUAAGUCAGAAUUUUUCUUUGUUUUCCUGUGUUUAUUAAUGAAAUGGAUCCUACCAGCAUAUUGUUUCUGAGCCCUUGAAUAUUUCCCUAUCCCUGAAGUCAAAUUGAAAUAGAACAGAUGGAAACACAGUAGGAUAUGUCACACAUGCUACACAGGGAAGAAUCAAAAGGCUAUCAAUGCUUUCCAAAACAAGCA